GGCAGGGUAGCUCAGUUGGUUAGAGCGCAACACUCAUAACGUUGAGGUUCGUGGGUUCGAUCCCCACCCCUGCUA
rnacentral:tRNA from 1 species